GUCCCCACCAGGGAAGAGAGUGCUCUUGUUUAUUUGUGACACUGUCAUCAUUUAACUGUUAUCAGAUUCUGAUUUGGCACAAACAACCUUC
ensembl:snoRNA